CCCAAGCCUUCUCUUCACCCUUUGGCCUAGGGGGAGAGACUGACGCUUGUGGAGGGAGGAAUGCUUGAGGGGGCUCAGAUGUCAACUGUAUCCUCCUUGACCUGGAAGAGAUCUAGCUGACAGUCUGCAAGCUGGAGAGAGGGCAAAAGUGGACCGCCAAAGGAAAGGAGUCCAAAAAGGCUGAGAUGCUGUGGUCAGCCAGAAGCUAGGCUCGGUUCAUGAAACAGUAACAACAGUGAAAUCCAGCUUCCGGAAACAGCUGGUCUGGGCUCUGCUGCAGCGGCAGCUCCCUCGUGUGUACUGACCCCGGUGGUUUAAAGUCCAAUCUUACUGAAUUCCAGCAACGCCCCCUCGGGAUCAGUAUGAUUAUGACCAUCCCUUUACAAGACACCAGAGAAGCUGGGGAGAAAUAUGAAAACUCAACUGUGCCCUGCACCAGCCUCCGCCCCCGAGUUAAGGAAUGCGAAAGGAUCUGUUGGAAGGGAUUUGGCUCGAAGAUUCUAAACUCUUUUUAGCUCCAGGCCUUCAUCACCGCAGAGCAGAGAAUUUUAUAAUCACAAAAGUGGGAAGAAUCUGAGAAGUCCUCUGGCUCAGAGAUCCUUCAAUGUUUAGAUUUUU